GGGUGGAGAUAACUGGGACAUUUUCUCACCACCACCAAUGAAUAAAAGUUAUUCUUUCCGAAGUGCCUUCAUAUCAAUUGAAACAUUUUCAGCAGUGCAGUGCAAUAGAAAAUAUAGAAAUAUGACCUCCAUGCGAAUCGAAGUGGAUAGAUUGACAAAGGCAUGAAUACAGCUACUUACUUUGGGUUAUUAUAGACAUAAAACUGGCUUGCAUGAGAACACGCAGAUUUCGGUCCUCACUUCCAAACCAACAGACAACAGAAUUCAUGCUACCAUUGUUCUUGAAAAAUGUGCUACAGAUACAAGGCCAGAUCCCUGAGGAAAAAGAAGAUGAAUCACAUUUCUUAAGGAGUUGGCUGAUUCAAGAGCAUAACUCAAAUCCCUGAAAAUCAGAAGGCAUUGUUUUGCAACAGCUCUACAAUUGUUAGCCUUAACUACUAGUGAAAUGUUGAUUAAUCCUCUUUUUUUUUUUUUUUUUUUUUUUGUAUAUUUGUUUUCUGGGGGAAAAUUAGGAUAAUCACGGGAUUUUUUUGCACAAUUGAGAAGUAGAAAUUUCUGUCUCUUUUAUCUUAAAUAGCACUUGAGAUUCUAAUAAAGAUUUGACUCAGAAGGCAUGGCACUAAGAAAUUAUUAAUUUUCAAAAUGAUAAUAAAAACUGUGAUGUUAUUACUGAUAAUCAGCACACAGUCAAAAUUAAUCUGCCAUAUAAGCAUAAGAUGAUCCUUGCCCUUAGCUGCAGCUAUUUUUCUAACACUGGGAAUGAAGACAUGGACUUCAAGAUCACCAGACUCUUAAAGACCAUUUUUUCCUGUCUUUGCAUUAAAUUAAAUAAAAAAAAAUAAUAAUAAAAAAACGCAGGUCAUACCUACAAGAAAUUGUAGAGGAUUUCUUGCUACAAAUCCAUCUGUCUUGUCACUACUCUUCUGCAGUUCCACAAAGUGGAUUCCACACUGCUCUCUUUCCUAAAUCUUCCUUUUCCAAAUUUAGCACAUACUGGUUCCCUCUUCCAGGGAACUGCCCUACUCAUCAAAAGUGGAGUGAUUAAGUUCCCAACUUUGGCACAGUCCAUCCUCUCUUUCUAAUUUAGAAUAUAAUCCAUAAAGUUUAGUUUAAUUACUCAUCAUAGAUAUGUGCGUGAAACAUGACACAUUUUGCCCCAAGGACAGAGAUCAUUAGAUGUACUAGAAACGGCUGCUCCAUUCACAGCUCCACAGACACUCCCGUUCUCUGUCUGUUCAACAUCAGAAAAGCCACAUUGACACAGAGAGCGUGCACCCUUGUAUGCUGCUGUAGCAAGUACAUUCACCUUCAGAUCUGGUGGCUACUGCAUGAUCUAGUAGUCAAGAGAAAUGGAGAAAAGGCAAGUGCUUAAAAAUAUGUAUACAGAUUCAGUUUUGAUUCUAAACUUGGUCUGUGAAAGUUGUAAGAAAAUGUCAGUGUACUAUAAGUAGUCAAAAUUCCAGCAAUUCACUGUGUCUGUGCAAAGUUUUAGCAUGAGGGAUAUGUACUAUAAAAAAUUGUUUGGCUUCAUAAUUUCAGUGAUGUGUAGAUCUUGUCCUCAUGUGAUAUUCACAGAACAUUUUCUAUUUAACAGAGGUAGUAGGUGACACCGCUUAACUUCUCAUUUUUCUGAAAAAUUGAAAAGUGAAGGAACACAACAACAUUCCUUUUACAACUGAUGUACACAAAAGCACCCUGAAUAACACUUGAGCACCUCGAUAUUUGUUCUAAUAGCACAGGAAAAAACACUGCUCCUGCUCAGUCAAAAUAUUUUUCAGCUACAGAUUUACAUGUGUAACUUGCUGUAAGUAUGUGCACAAGAGUAUUACGCAGAAUGUAGAUUAUAUUACACCAUUCUUAAAUGUUGGCAUUCAGUUAUACUGUAACACAUCUGGAGAUACUCCUCUGAAUUUACUUCAGUUUUGCAUUGAAUGAAGAACAGCCAGAAGCUUGGACCAUCCAUUUUAUUUUCUUGCCUCCAAAAUGAGAAUACACUGUGCAGCACUGAUGAGACACGAUUGGCAGUGUACAACACAAUAUUCAUGCUCUGGGAUAGCACCAAUGAAUCUAACUUUAAAUAAUCCUCUUUUUUUUUUUUUUUUUUUUUAAUGUGUGUGUGAAUGUGUGUGCAUAAACAUAUAAUCUGCAUGCUCUGGUUCUGUGCAUCAGUUUUCAAACUAGGGCUAAAUUUUUUAUAGCAGACAUCCAAACCACUCUAGCAUAAUUUAUGAUGGAAGUGCUGACACAGAACUAACUGUGGUGGCAUGAACAAUGCUCAUAUUAAACAAAAAGCAAAGGUUCCUUAAAAUAAACUGCAUGAACUUCAAAACUCAGAUUAAAAGCAUAUGAACCUGAAAUAAUUUUAUUGAUGAUUACGUUCUGUAAACCCAAAAAAGCCAGAGAGGGAAAAUUUUUGAGUCAUGACUUCUAAAAGUUUUCUUUGGAAAAAUCAGAAUUUGUAAAGUGUGUACAGCACUUCUUUGUAUUUGAAAAACCUAUAUGCCUUAUUUAUAGCAUGCAUUGUGGCUAUUGGUAUGCAUGGACACAUUCUAAUAGUGUUUCACCACAACAAAAGCCAUCAUGCUGGCAAAAGGAGACAGGAAAAUCUAACACACUCCUACCAUGACCAAGAUGGUAAGAGCUGCUGCAGUUGCCAAAUACGAUACACAAAACAUUUAAUUUAUAAUAGUUAGAACUUGGCCCUUGACCAAACCCAAAGAACUAUGUCUUAUUUCACUUGCUCUUGAAUAUGUCUCUUUCAGAGAUAAAUGACUGUGCUGCUUGCCAGUUCUCUCCUCUGUUUGGCGUUUUGUUUAGCUCUGCUUGUGACAAGCCAAGAGUUGAUGCAUCUGCUUGAAUGUGUAAUAUACAUCUUUGGUCAACUUAGCUUUUUUCCUUGACAAUAUUAUGUCAAACAAUCACAUCACAACUGGCUCUGAUCUCUUUGUUGUUAGCUAAUAAAUUAAAGAGUAUUUAUUAUCUGCAAUCCUUUUUUCCCUUUUAAUGGUGACACAUUUGUGGUGAAUUACAGGGCAGCUUUAUAAACUAGGCUGUGGGCCAGUAUCAGCCCCUGCGUUCAUGUGAAUGUUCCCUCUCCCACUUGGCCUCCCAGCCUGGUGGUAAAUCAAGGCAGCUGUCACAGUACACUAAGUUAGUGUGCGUCAUUGGGGAGAGCAGGAAGCGUUGGGGUAUAAUUCUGUCCAUCAAACUAAUAUGUUAUAUCAGUAGCUUUGUAAUCUUCUGCUGUAAGUUAUGGGGAGUGACACCUAAGAAUUCACUUUGAAAGCAAUGUGUUCCUCAGACUUUAAGCCAAAACAGACCCAAUCUGCAGCAAGAGUUCCUCUGUUUAUAUGAGUGGAUUUGUAGCAGCUAACAGCCCCAUCACUAUCAAUGCAGCAGUAUUUUACACAUUCCAAAGCAAGCCUCUCUCUGUUUACAGACUUUGCAGUAGAAUUUGUAAACUUUUAAAGCAUGAUUUCUUCCCUUCUCCUUUUUUUACCCUUGCUUUAACCUCCAGUAGCAGGACAGAUAAAUAUACUCCUUGAAUGUUAUCAUGACAAAGUGAACUCCUGACAGAUAGGAAUGAAUGGGCGACCUAUUUCCCUUGUCCAUACCCCCUUCAACCUUUGCCUUGACAAAUGUGGGAAAUAGCUGAGUAGGACAGGAGAAGAAUACACACAGCACUAUGAUAGGAAUGUCAGCUUUUUUGCUAAACGUUCACAUGAUACUAAAAGAAAUGUGUGAAGAUAACCUUAAAUAGGAAGCAUGUUUUCUAAACAGCUUCACAGAGAUCCAAUUCACACUGUAUCUCCUCUGAAAGGAUGGCUUAUUUUUAGAGACUAUUUUUAAAGCUUUUAAAGACCAGCAAAAGAGGAACUUGGACUCAAUUAGGGGGGUUUUGUGAGGUGUGAUUUGAUCUGAAAGAAACCUAUAGGGCAUCUUCAAAGAGACUCAACCAUACAAGCAUUUUCUGCAAAACUGACACACAGAAAUCAAAGUGCUGAAGACAUUAAAUAUCUGUACACUCUUCAUCAAUCUAUUUUAAAGGUUUGGUAUUAAACCCAACCCAACUUUAGUUCCAUAAUCUUUGUAAUCAAUAGUAAACGUAAAACAAACUAAAAAAAAAACAAACAAAAACUAAAAAAAAAAAAAAACCACCAAAAAACAUCAUUAGAAAAUAGUACUUUUAGUAAUUUUAAUUCUUAAAUCUAAUUCCAGAGACUAUUACAAUACAGAAAAGGCUUCUUGGGAAAAUCUGACUUAACUUACUCUUACCACAUACAGUGCUAUCAUCAUCUCAUCAACCUUUGAUCUAGUUUACUUUAGAUUUUAAAACACAUUCAUGACAGUUAGAAGUAUUUCAACUUCCAUUAAUCUGCACAAUAUACAAAUGCUAUUUUAACAUUCAUUUUAGCAUCAACUUGAAAAUCACAAAUGGUAUUUCACAGGAUCAUGUGGCAUAACACAUUGCCUAAACCUUCAAAAAUCUUAAAUUUUGUUGUAUCAGAUCCUGUUCACAUGCCUUAAAAACUUUAAAAAGUAUGUGUUAGACUUAGUUUAACAUUAAUAAAACCAAAUAUUUUAUCUUAAAGUAACCUACCUAGAGACCACUUUUUUCAUCUGUAUCUGUUCAUCCCAUAUAAUUAAAGCAGUAUUUUUUUUAGAUAUUUUCUCUACAGUAUCAUAAAAAAGUACAUCUCAAAAUUUUCCCCUGCUUGUAACUGCUGUGAUCUGAACAAAACUGUCUAAAUUUUGACUUAAGUUUUAAAAAGUUGAACUAAAUUCAUAGAUAACAGGAUUAAAUACAGAAAGAUUCUAUGUCUGGAGAUACAAGGAAUUUAAAUGUGUUUGCAUCAAUCAUCAUACUGUACUUCUUUGUUACACUUUUCAUUUGCAAUUCUUUCAUUCGGCGUCAUCUUGCACUAUUUCCUUUUUUUUUUUUUUUUUUUUUUUAAUAUAUUUAAAGGUAAACAGUCUCUCUUUCACCGCACACCAUCUGGGGGACAGGAGGGUGGUGUGUUUGUGCAGAACUGCUGUCUAAAAACUCCAGGACUACAGAGAGCUUCUUCACUCAAGGCUGCUUUGCUAGAAAUCAUGUGCCUAUGAUGACUUCUACCACGGUUUUCUUUUACAUGGCCCAUCGUAUGAUUCAACACACAAGACUAUAUAGCAGUUAAAAAACUAGUAGCUUUGGCCACUUUUUUAAAAAUAAACCACUGAUGAAGAUACUGUACAAAUACCUCUGCUUAAGUCCACAAAAGCACAGAUCCUGCAAACACCAGGCAUUAGCAAUGAAGGAUAAAGUCUCUGAUCAGGAGAAUGAUCAAGAACAACUUCCUACAAAGAUGAGCAUUUGAAAGCCAUGUUCAAAGAUUCAAUAAAACCUUCCCUUCUGCCCUCUAUGCCAGAUCAGCUUUUUCUCAACAAACUGCCUUGCAGCUGCGAGGUUCUAAGCCUAAGGUAAAGUUAUUUGGCAAGGUACUGUAAAAACUGAAUCAAGCAUCUGUGAUAUUUUUCACAGGUAUUUUUUUCCACCUGUGACUGCUGACUAAGGUGCUUGUUCUGAAAACCUCAAGUGCAGCCCUGCCAGUCCUGCCAUUAACAGAUUCAUUGUUCCCCACUGCUGGAUAAUAACUACAUUUCUCAAGUCACCUACAAAAAUUAUAGCAGUUGCACCAGGUUGGCCAUCUGAGAUUUGGCAAUGAAAUAGUUUGCUCCUGUUUUCACGAGCAGUCAUGUAAAGCCAUAUAAAAAUUCAUCCAUAGUUCAAAGUACAUCAGAGAGACAGGCUGUCAGUACACAAAGCUAACAUUUGGACCGAAUCAUCCAUCGCUAGCUAAGCACUCAGAAAUCGAGUAAAGCAUCCUUUAUAUACACAGAGCAGAGUCCUGUGACUUUCCCACAGCAUGACCUUCUAAACUCAAAUGUGACUGUAUUCAUCUGAAAGUUGUUGGCUAUUUUCUUCUUCUUAUGGAUGCACUUUGAUGAGAAUUUUUUAAGAUUACAUGGGAGCCAAAUUUCUCUGAAAAUAAACACAAGGUGGGUAGUUUAUCCAGUCACUCGCUUUUGGAAUUCCUUGCUUUCAGUGAUGGUUUGGGACAUUCAAAGGUGAACAUCAGAAAAAAUGAGAGCAUUUUUCAAAUUAAUUACAUAAUUUUAAGACAAUGUCAGACAUCAAAACACGCAAAUUUGAUCAAAUCUUUGAAAAAUGAGAAUUUCAUUUGGUUCCAGUUGGUGUAGACCCCAACGUCAUAUUCCCUGGACAAGAACUUUGACCAUAGCUGGUCACAUGCACAGGAUUUGAAAGGAUUUGUCCAACUUUUGGUAUUAAACAAGUCUUAAAAUUCUUUAGCAUAAAGCGAUGACAUGUUUAAUAUUAUCCUAGGAAAUAUCACAAAUUUCAGUAAUUUGUUAAGCACCUGGCUUCUCCAAACUCAUGUUCAUUGCUCUUUCUUGUCCUUUGUUAGGAGAGAAGAGAAACAAAAGAAAGAGAAAUAAUGGGGUAUCUACUUACACUUCUAGUAUACAGGUCUCCUCUCCGGUUUUCAAACAAAUUCAAGCAUAUUAAUUAAAACCUAACUUCAAGGCAUAUCACGCAUUUUCCUGAGAAAUACUAUUUUCAUAUAAGUGAAAAAUUAUCACCUAAACUACAUUUUCAUUACUUUCUGGAUAGUUAGAUAAAAACAGUAGUUCAUAUAGCUAUUAUAUACACUUAAUAAAUCUAAAGUCGAUAACACUUAAUUACUGAAGAUACUGUAGGACAAAUAUUUAGUGAAAAAAAAAAGACAACAACAUUUCAAUGGAUUUUUAAAAACAAAUCUCACAUAAACAUAUUUUCCUUUAAUGCCCUUAAGAUCUCUUUUACAAUUACACUUAAUUUAAAGAAUCUGUCAAUGAGGAUUCCUUUAGCAGUUCUAAUGUUUGAAUUAGAUAACAGAAGCUGAUAAACUCACAAUAAGAAAUGAGAACAUUCAGUACUAGUGGUGAGUGGCUUCCAGGAUACAUAUCACUAUAGCUUUCAAAUUGAAGACUUGUUUCGCUUUUCUGCUAAUCAGUUUACUUUUUCUAUAAUUGAACUGCUCUCUCUUUAGCAAUAUUCUUUACUGAUUUUCUUUUGCAAACCCAUUUGAAAUCUGCUCGGUACUAAUUUCUUCUUUUUUUUUUUUCUAUUUUAAGAAAGAAACAAAUACAUAUAUGAGGUUAUUUCUCUUCUGUAAAUGCUUAGGGUUGUUUUGUUUUGUUUAAACCCAUCUUGUUUCAAUCCCACACACUUUUAAUGACUGUAAUAUAAAUGAUAACCUCCUUUCAAGAAUAUAAACAGAAAGCAGUAGAAAGAACAAACAUCAGCUGAACUAAUCCUCUGCUCUGCAGUUCUGUUGUAGAUUGAAUGACCCUAAGCUAGCUUUUCUGAUUUGUUAAAAAUGUAGCAGGCUAACUUGGGCAUGAUGGAUUACAAUUCCACUGUGAAUUUUGGGGGUUUGAUUACUUCUGUUCCACCCUUUCAUGAAAAUUUCAGUCACAUGAUUCCACUCAGAGAGAGAACAAACCAGUCCAUUCUGCUGCAAAGUGGAAUGAACACUGCUCAACUAUUGUCAGGCUUUGGAGAUGAACAUUUUCUUCAAUGUAGCUCCUAAUCUCAUCACUGCUAAGAAAUGGCAUAUGAAUAUAAAAAGAGCUAUAGGUAGUACUUGUGAACAGACUGCUUCCUUGGAAGUAGUUAAUUGAGACGCUGUCAUUUUUUAGUUUUCUGAAUGUUUAUUGGUGUUUUAAAUGGGAUAUAAGCAGUCGUGACCUUUUGUGUCUGAUGUCAGAGAAAUGAAAAGGCCCAGCAAUAACUGGAGUUUACAUUGGCUUCAUUUUCUUGCUCUGAAUUAAAUACAGGCUAUAUCCAGCACACCAUACAUUCUUGAAGGCUUAAGAUGCAAUUCAAGGCCUUCUUGUGUGAAGAAAACAGAUAACAGCUGGAAAAUUAUGGAGUAGUUCCAACAGGGACUUGUGCUUCCACAUAGAGCUAUGCUCAAUGAAUUACAAUUAUAAUAUCUCUACGGUUGUCAAACAACUACUUACUUUAAAAACACCAGCUGUACUAUGCUGCCUUUUCUUCUUUUUUUGUUGUAAGACUUAUCAAACAAAUAAAAUAUUGUAUACUCUUCAGUGAAAGGCCGACUUGGAAACUUUGAAGAAGAUUACAAGAAAGAAAACAAGUCAACCUGUAGUUCUUCAUAUACACUAGCUAAAAUUAUCUAAUUCCUCUGUGCUUAAUGUUUAAUGACUGACCAAAAAUGGUCUGUGUAUUUGAGAGGAUUUAAGUACUUAUUUGAUGUCUUUCGGGACCGCAUGGAUUUAUCUAUGCAAGUAUACCAUUGUCAAAUCUAUCAAACAUUUUAUUAUCAUGACAGCUUUUCACAUGCCAGCUAUGUGCCAGUUUUCAUAAACUUUUAUAAGAAAUACCUACUCUUUUUUUCCCCAUGUUUAUUGUCUCCAGAGUAUGUAAUGUAAAAAAUAAAGGAGCUAAAUCCAAAGGAAUAGCAGAAUGUUGAAUAAAGCAAUAACAGAGAUGACUUAUUUUUACAAGUUCAAUUCUACAUUAUUAGAAAAAUCUGGAGUAAUUUCAACACUAUCUUAGCAUAGGAUUCCUAAGAAUUAAAAUAAUGUAAUGUCUGAAUUUCAGAUACAUUACAACUGGAAUUCUGAUUCUAAGCAUUGCUAUAACAGGUACUUGGAAGAAGAUAUAAAUUCUAGAAUGAAAAUUAAAAUCUCUAUGGAAGAUGCUCCACCAACACUUACUAUACCGUUUUGAAAACCAAUGCCUUCAUGAGUUCAUAUGUAACAGCAUGUAAUAUAUCUCACUCUGGGUUUAGCCAAUUCCAACCACUCGGAAAAAGCCUGGUGCUUGUUCCACAUAAGUUUGUUUUGAAACCCAAAGUUUUUCCCUCAGUUAAUGCUGGAAUUCUCUGAAUCACCUAUAAGAGACUAUCUUACUUCACUGAGACCACUACAAAACAAUCUAGGAUUGGAACUGCACAUUUUUUCAUAAGGAAAAUAUAAAAUUUACAUUUAAUUCUCACAGAAAACAAAAUUGCAAUGGAGCAAUACGGUCUCUACUAAUCUGCAUUCCUCAAAUACAUUUCUACUAUGUAGGUUUCUCAAAUUCUUUAUUUUUCUGCAUUUUUCUACCUUUCCUCCAUCAACAGAUGCUUUCUUCUUUACUUCUCAUGUCACUCUUUUUUUCUUUCAUUUUUCUCUCUCUCUCUUUCUCUUUUUUUUUUUUUAAUUUCUCUUUUAUUUCAAAAGGCAAGCCAGUGACAAGAGUGGCUGGAGAAUGACAACUUACUUUUCAGCAUCAUCAAACUGACAGCUCUAGGACCAAGUGCUGAUAUAAGCUAAUAAUGAUAAACUUGUCAAUAGAUUUACAGAAUGCAUUGAAAGAUUCUAUUUUCCUCACAGGAUUAAGAAAAAGAAAUGUUUCUCUAGGAAAGACAAAUCAUAUUUUUGAAUCAAUUUAUUAAUCACUUAUGAUUAAAAUCUGCUUCAUCCCAUGCCCCUUCAAGUCAGACAAGAUGAAGAAGUUCUAUUCACUUGCUAUACAAGGCUCAAACUAGCAGAAAAUUUCUGUGGAAACUUUCCACAGUGUCCAGAACCUCUCCCAGAUUAUGGCAACAGUAUUUUGUGUAAGAAAUCUUUAGCUCAAGUGUAUGUCCAGUUUGUUAUAUUUUGAAUCUCAGUAUUCCAAGUGAUUUCUCUUAAAUGUCUAUUUAGUAAUAAAAUAAUGUAUAACAUAGUCCAAAUCUCUUCCUCCAAAAGAAAAUGCCACCAAACAGAAAUGUUGGUUUUUUUUUCAGUACUAAAAUCCUCAAGUAAUUUUUAGAUGGCAUAGCAACUUGAACAUGAGCCUGUUGGCCUUACUAACUGUGAAGAGUAUCAUGUAUCAGAAAACAAAGCUCAAAUCUAGCAGAUCAGCGCAGCAGUAACUUCACAGCCCUGUGGGAGCCCUUUCUAACUACAGGGCAAGAGCUUUUCACUUCCCAUAAUAAAUAUUAUAAUGGUUUCAAGUCUCAGUUGAUCACAUAAAUGCUUUGUGGUAAUUUGGAAACAGACACUGAUAGGUGCUUAGGCAGUACUGAGCUAGAGAUGCUUCAUUUAGGACUCAGCACCUUUCAGGAUAAGACCAUUUACACAUAGCUUAAGGGUUCACAAUCUGGCAGUCUGUAGCUGAAGUAGCUUGAGAAGAUGCUAAGUCUUCAAGCAUAUCAGGCCAGAGAAGGUGAAAAAAAAACAAUUUUCUACCAUAAGGAAUCUGUCAAUAAAAGGGUGAAAUUUUUGCAGGGCACCCAAAAUUCAAUUUUCAUGAAACUACAAAGCGAUCCAAGUAUAACUUUCAUGGUUCUCAGAAACACGCUUGUUUUUAUAGUCCCCGUAUAAUCACUACAGUAUUUUUACGACACUGUUCUGUUUUCAAGCAAAGUUUGACCAACUCAUCAUCAGCAAAAAUCAUUGGACAGUAUCUCAUAUUAAAAUUGAAAGCUUUUUUUUUCCUAUAAAAUUUUUAGAGUUUUCAAUAAAAUAAUAUGUACACAGCAUAAUAUUGCAAUUUAACCAGCAAGUAUAGAGCCAUUUAAAUCUCUGAGGAAGACAGCAAAUGGUGUAAGCAGGGGUUCUGCUUAACCCACACACCCUGCUAAUACAUUUUAGAUAACUGGCCAGAGCAUUUAAAUAAAGUCCAGAUUCAAUUUAACAGUAUUUGUAACAAAGCUUUAUCUUAUUAUAUUAGUCAAUCUUUAUUACUAGUCUCACAAGUGCAGAAAACCCUAUUAUAAUCUUUCUUUCUAAUGAUCUUUUCACUAUCAUAGUAAUAGAACUCAGCUAUAAAUUAAUCAUCUGUUUGCAAUCAUGAGUAAACAUCAACUCAAUUAACAAUUGAUAAAUAAACAGUUGAGUCUACAGGCUAUUUCUGUUACAAAUGCAAGUACCGAAAGAUUCAGCACAGCUUUGCUACUUAACUCAAAUGAACAUUCCUGUGUAUUCAGAGAUUUCUGUUCUGCUUAGAUUAAAUGGAACAUUACAUGAGCUGAGCAGGUUUCCCACCACAACGUUGCCACCCAUCUUUUGUGCUACUGAGCGUGGGGGAGGAUAUUGUCUGUCUUUUCUGAGGACUGCUUUGUUCCUUUCAGACUAAACAUAAGUUCAGGUGAACAGACUACAAGUGAAUUGAUUUAAUGUGAAGAAAGCUGCAGGGAAAACUUUUCCUUUGCUAAGCUACUGUCUUGGUUUCAGCUGGGAUGGAACUCUUUUCUUCAGAGUGUCUGAUUUUGUCUUUUAGAGUAAUGAUGACAACUGAAUCAUCGAACAGGCUCAAGGAAAGAAAGCCAUUUCAACAAUCAUAAUCUGGCCCAGACAGGAACCAAAGGACUUCCACCCUACUGCCUCACGUCUAUUCACUGCUCCCCGUCCCCAUCUCUUCCAUGAUACUGUUGCUGAAUUUGCAUGUUAAGUUUUCUCAUUUCUUCUAAGUGCUGUGUAUACAUUUGAGACAAUAACUACUGCCUAGAAGACUACAUAAUUUUGAGGUUCUAUAUCCAUUGGUGAAAAUAGAGCAAGUACAGACAGCCUGGAUCAGAUAAAAGGCCAUAACUUUCACUCACCUACUAUAAAACAUAUUACACACAUAUCAGCAAGUUCAUUAGUAAUCCUAUAUGAUCCUAUAUUUUGGAAAUGUUAACCUCUUGCAAAAUAUAUUAUAUAAUACAUAAGCCCACAGUAAUGACAGUUAGCAAUAGAAAAUGUUUUUAAAACAUGCUUCCAAGAUGACACUAUGUAAAGUUAAAAAAAGUAAAGAAAAACUUGGGCAGAAAACUAAAGGCUUAUUGAUUCAGUAUCUAGUGCUGUCAGCCCUUCCAAGCUCACAAUUCUCAGCAAAUAAGAGUUCAGUCCCACUGAAGAAUUCCUUCCAUAGGAUGCUAGACAGCAUGGGGAGCUAAAAGGUGGAAAUUCUCAACAAGGGUAACUCAUAAGAUCAGAUCCUGUAAAAGAGACAUAUCUGAUAUAUUCUAGAAACAGUCAAUUUCAAGACAGUUCCGUGAACGAAAUUCUCAACUUGAGCACAUACAUACAAACAAAAUGUUUCCUUGAAUUUAAUGAUUCAAUCCUGAGCUUAAAAUCACAAUUCUUUCUUUUCUUCUUUAUAUAUAAUAUAUAUAUACAGCUUUCUGAAUAUAAAGGUAUUCUAAUAUUAGUGCUUUGCUGUAUUGAUUUCCAUAGGUUGUCCAGUGGAAUAGUAGCCAUUUAGGGAUUAUGACCUUCCCUUGUCCCUGAUACAGGAAAUAUAUGUUAUAUGACUUGUUCCACAUAAACUGAGAUGUUCAAUGAUGCAGGAAUUUCAUAACCUUCAAGGAAUUCAUAUUCUUUCCGCAACACUGAAUGAAUUGGAAUUAUACUAAUCUUCUCCUGCCUUAUCUUACAUCUUUAACAACUGCUAAACAUGGUAGUCAUCAUUUUAUUCAUUCAUUAGUUUUUUUUUUCUCUACAUUAACUUGGAAGAGAAUUAUUAUUAAGUGUACAGUUACAAUGUCUAUAUAUUAAUAACCGAGCUUCUGAAGACAGAGCACCGACAUAACAAUAACAAGCAAGCAUUAAGCACAAGCACAGAUGGCCCUUGACCAAAACAGUGAAUACAUACUUUCCAUAAGUUAUUAGGAAGAAAGAAAAUUCAGCAAAGCAACUUCAGCCCCAGUGAAGCAAUGGUGACCUCAGCAGCAGAAUUCUUCAUUUAAAAAGCUGAAGAAAAAAAGGGAUGCUAUAACUGAGAAAAAUAUCAAGCCAGAAACAUUUUGAGAAUGAACUCAGUACAUCCUACAUAUCAAAGAAAAAACAGAAAAAAAAAGAAAAAAAAAAAAAAACCACAGGAAAUUUCAUCAGGAGAGUAUAAUAGAGGAACUUUCAUAGACGGGUUUGGUUCACAGAUGGGUUUGAGUUUGGUUAAAUUCAAGGAUCGUUCAAGACUGGGAGAAAUCCAAAUCCAGAAGUUACAGGUGGAUAGUAUUACUUAACAUUACUAUGUAGAUAGGCCAAAGUAGAUUACUCUUGGAAUGCUUUCAAAAUGUGCAUCUGCUAGCGUCAGUGAGCAUGUACACAUAAUGCUAAUGAGAGGCACAGUAAAUCCAUUUUUUCUCAGAGACUGAGCCCUUUGAAAGACUCAAGAUACUGGUAAGCUUUUAGUGAUCAAUAUAGGUCUUGAAACCGUAAGGCACUUAACUUCCAAGAAUUGUUUUUCCCAUAGAAGAUAUACACAGGUCGUUUACACUGUCAGAGACCUCUGAAGAUGUUUUAGAGGUCUUGUUGGUACAGUUUUCUCUACAUCGCCAAAUACUUGAAAGACAGUUAAGCACUCUUGAAGUGCUCUCUUUUUUUUUUUUUUUUCCCCAGAAUGAAGGUAUAAUUUUAUAAAUAAUUUCCUUCCUUAUAAAGAGGUUACAUCAACAAUUUAAGCACACAAAAUUUCCUAAAAUACUUUUAUGCUAUCUGAUGCACUUUCUUGGGGAGGGCUUCUGCCCUCCCUUCAAAAUUAAAUCUUGAAAAUGUCCACACAGGGCUAUAGGUAAAUCUGCCACUACCUAUCUAGACAUAUCUUUAUCUUCAGUCUGACUUUCCACAAUGAAUUAAGAACCAGAUCUGGUGAGAGAGUACCCUACCUUAAAGUUCUCUGUAAAGAGGUAGAAGCCUACAAAUAAAGGCUCUCAUAAGAGUAAAGAGAAAACUUCAGCUUGGUUCAAUAAAGCUUAACAAAGCUCUUUACUGUACACACCAAAAAAACAAAAAACAAGAAAACCAACCAUGCAAUCCAUAGUGAAAAUUCUUACACAACCUGUUGCAAAACACUCACAAGAUCUUUUUAUGUCUCCUCACCGUUUCUCUAAGUAUUUCAGGCAAGAAGCUGCUACUGCACUGCAUUUGAAAAUGAGGGGUUUUGUUGUAGUAAUUGAGGUUAUACAAAUUUAGCUGUGUGAUUCUUCCAUUCUCUGAUUUACCUAGGGCUGGAUUUAAAGAAGUAUGACUAAUCUCAAAACCUAAAAUCUUUCCACAUCAAUAAUAUCAUAUGUAGAUGAAUGCCAAUAGUCCAUAUAUGCAUACAUAAAUAUAAACAAAUAGUAAACACAUUGUCUUCCUAAAUGUUUGUCAAUGUAAGUUUCCUAAGUAUUGCACCACAUAUAGAUGGAAUCUACUGAAACCCUUCGCUUAAAAGUCAGGCUAGAAAUUGCAGUCCAUCUGUACAAAGUUUCUGUUUGCACUGCUCCCACAGUUAGCAUGCCAUGCUCCUGAGUAUGUCUUAUUUGAACAAAGGUUACAACCAUCCUCCUGCACAAGUUGACAGAUGGCCUUGUCUCUUCACUUCCCUGAAGAAAUUUUUCUGUCUGCAGUCUCUUCCACCUUUUACUUUAAUCAUCACCAUUUCUUCUCUGGCUGUGGAUAAGAGCUGAAUGAGCAAGUUUUACACAGGUUUGGAAGCACUGAGAUUUGUGGUCAUUCCAUUCUCUUCCAGAAUUAAGCUCCACAGCCUUGAGCCAGCUGCUGAGAAAGCUCUGUCUGCUGCUCUCAUGAGUUGACAGUUUCAUAGUUCCUCUGAAACGUAGCUGUCAAGGGAAUCUGUCACAGCAGCUGGAGAAAAGCAAUUUCUUAGGUAGUUCGAGCCAGUUCCAUGGAGGGCUUUGAAGAUUAUGGAAAAGAAACUGAAUUUAACCUAAUAUUCCAGCAGCAAUAGGGGUGGGGACCAUCAGUGGAGUGCAGACCCAGUGUCACCACUCCUUACUGCUUAAAAUUACAAGGGAAUGGUUUCCCUCAUGACAUACUGUCUUCUACUUUAAACUCAAACUAGGAAAUGUGAAGGUCUACUGGCAGAAAGCCAGGCUUAUUUCUGUAUAUUUGAGUCUCACAGAAAGGCACCAAGGGAAUUUGAGAUAGUUCCUAUUCUGUGAGACUCUACACCAUUUUAAUCCCUGUUUUGGUUCAGUUAAGGAAAAGAACUCUCUCAUUUAUUAUUUGCAUCUUUUCUAUAAUAAUUUAAAAAAAAUUGCAGGCUCUUCACGUGUAAUGAAUAUAUAUAUAUAAUGAAAGCAUACAAUUAAAAGCAUAUAAAAUGAAGCAUACAAUUCUUCCCAUGUGCUUGUAGUUACACAUAUUAACUUCUUUCCACCAGAGAGGAAAUAAGCUUUAUUGAUAUAAGUCUUUUUCCAUAUUGAACAACUGUAUCCACCCUAGAUUCAGCCUCAUUUAAUUCCAUUUCAGGCCAAUGUACCCAGGCCUUGCCCAUUUAGGUGUGCAGCUGUCUACUGGCACAAGCAGCUGAGAAGAGCUCCUCCUCCCCUCUAGCAAACUAAGUUAUGUAUGUCAGUCAUGAAGCCAGCCAGAUGUAUUUAUUUUGAACAUUCACUAUCUACCGAGUUACUACAGUGAUGAAAACAAACUCACCCCUUCCCCAUCUAACAGUGCAGAGACUGUAUAGCCACAAACAUAGUGUAAAUAAAAUCUAACACCCAAUUCUCUUCAGAGCAUCCCUUUUGUUAUGUGGCAUUUCUGGUAACAGGAAUUAUAGCCACAUGGAGACUUUUUGUUCCCCACUGAAAGUGUGAGAUCCCUGAGAGCAGAUGAUGGUUUUAUUACAAAAACUUUUGUAGUUUGGAAAGAGCAGUUGUAAAAGUUAGUUCAAGGCUUUUAUGACUUCUUUUGUUCAGAAAAAAUUAAGGGGGAAAAAACAUUGGUGAUGUAUGAAAAGAUUACUUGUUUAUAAUCAGUACAUAGAUCCUUGCCUUUUUCAUAAAAGGAAAGGAGACCAGCAGGAGAAUUACAAUACAGAGUACCUCCCAGGAUCUCUUUCACCAUUCUCCCCAUUUGUGUAUUAAGUAACAAGGCAGCUGUUGAACAAGUACUAUCAACAAAGCAAUCUUCUAGCCCUUUGAUUUAGGCUAUUCAUAUCUUCUGCCCUGAAAUAAAAUGACUUUCACAAUUAAAACACCGAAAUCAAUGCUGUAUCUAUUGUCAUGUCUGCAGGAGAAAAGCUUUAAUUACAACCCUAGUUAGAUAACACAAUCAUUACACCUCCUUAAUCUCAAAUAUAAAACCAGUACCCUUCGAGUGCUAUGCCAUCCUUUCUUUGAUUUUUUUUAUGUGGAUAGCUUUUUAUCUGAGCACUUUAAUUUGCAUGCCUUUGCUGCGAGGCAGCUCCCCGUGAUAUGUUAAUUGCAGAGUGCUUUAAGUACUAAAAGAUUAACAUAAAACCCUUUGCAAACAAGCUAAUAGUUUAUGAUAAUUUUUGCAUGGCCUUUGUCUGUCUAUCACUGGAUUGCCUCUAGCUGUAAUUUUAUAAAGAAGCUGUAAAAUAUCAUUUAAACAAGUUCAUUUACACAUAAUUAUUACCAGAAUCACAUUAUUCAAUUUAGAUACUCCAGCCUAUUAACAAUCCAUGAACUAAAAUGUAAUUAAACUAUUUUCCUUUUAUGAACCUAUUCAUUACAACGUGUGGGAGAUGGAUCUCUCAGUUUCACUGAAAAAUUUCAGCACUUUGUUGUUGGAAUUGACAAGUCUGGCACUCAUUCUGUGCUUUUAAUUAUAUUAAAAGUAUUUCAAGACAGCUAAGAUAAAGAAUAUAUUUAGAAAAGAAUGCGCAGAAAUGCCAAGAUGGUGUCAUCCAGAAACAUGUAUUUAUUUCAUUCCACAGUGUUUGCACCUUCUUAUCAGAUAAAAUAGAACCAGGAUAUAUCACUUCAGUUAUAAGUUUUCAGGCUUUUUAGUUUUUGAAAGAUAAACUUGGGGAAAAAAUUGCUAAUGAGAUGAAAUAUUUCAAUUAUGGCUAUACUCUGAAAACCUUACAGUACAUGGGACUUGCAUCAUGCAGCUGUAGACAUUGAUUAGAUCUUCUUAGCUCAAAAAUUGAUUACAUUUCAAGAAAAACUAAAAGUUAUGUAAGCUGCUCACAUGUCCUCUAGAAAUCAUAACAGUUGCUUCAGUGGGUCAAGACAUUACUUGGCAUUCAUUCACUUAAAUUCCCUUGUAGCAAUCAAAAGGUGCAAUAUCCAUGCUUUAGGAAAAGGAAAGUAUUAGGAGCUGUCAAUUUACUGUAGUUUUGUAUGUUAAAAACUUUUUCAAAUAAAGAAACCACUCUGAAUAUGAAAAAUCUCAGUUUUCCCCACUUGAGAAAAACUUUUUCCAGCACAAUUACAGAUCCUACUACAUAAACCAAACCACCCAGAAAAAGUGCCAGAAAAAAAAAAAAAUCCAAUAGAAAUCUAACACAGAGGUUGAAAAACAGUUUUAUUUGAAACUCAGUAACUGGCCUGACACUAGUCCUCAAGAGCCCAAUACUUGAGAAUAGCAGACAACACAAAUGAAUCUCACUUCUGAGGGGUUAAAAAAAAAUAAAGAGGGGAAGGAAGGAGGGAUGCCAAGUUGACCACAGAUACUAACUACCGCAGAGUGGAAAUUGUCACAUCUCUUCUACAGUAGGGAAUCUAUUCAAAAUUUGAGCUGGUAUUCCUAAGGCAAAGAGGAGUCAAAAGUAUGUUGCAGAUGAGGGAUGAAAUAGAAACAGGUCAUUCCUGCAACAGGCAUAAAACUGAAGAAAAAUUCAACCAGAAAUCACUAUGGCAGUAAAAUGGUCUACAUGCAAAACAUUAAUAAAACCCAGAUAUUUUAGUCCCAGUAGUUUGGGAUCUGCAGACCAUCGAGGCUCACAUGCUUAUGUAUUUUCAGUAGUCUUCAAGAGCGAAUAUUUUACUAAUGUUGAUCUGAAUACUACCAUUUAGAUCAGUUCCUACAAAAGUUAUUGACUGUAUACUCAGUGGGUGACUGGACUGUUUGAAUUAAAAAUGAAACUGAAUGUCCUCUAAUUCUCUCUAAACUCCUGGUACAUCAGAUAGAACUACUACUUCUUUACAUUAUAACCUCACAGCUUUUUGUAGUGGGCUUCGUGGAAAUUGUUAGUAAUUGCAUUUCUGAUACAAAAUGAAAACCUGGCAUAAUACACUGUACUUCCCUUGCAUAACAGUAGGCUGCAGCCUCAAAACAAGUUAAAAACAGUUGUUGAAAAAAAUUAGUGUGUGUUUCUUCCAAGCUCUUUUAGAUCAAAGCAUUUCUCAUGUAGCAAUAAGUUUAUGAAGGAACCACAGUGUAUGAAGAAAAACAUUUUUUUCACUUCAGUAUCUUCAGGUUCAUUCCAAACUGCCAUUAUUUGGACUGUCACCCUGACACUGCCUGAGGUGCAUUCCAGCUCUCUGCAAGAAAAUCUGCUUUCCCACUAAUGGGGCUGUUCUUGCAAUGGCAAAUGUAAUUUUCCACUUCAUUAAAAAUAGUGUGCAAAAGGACCUAUUUCUCACUGAACACAGAUCAGUUCCCAGUGAAAUCCUGUUCACCAAAUAUUACAAUAGUAGAAUUCACUUCAAAUGUAGGCACUUACUCGACCUGGACAUAUAGCUCUGAUCCAACCACAGACACACCUGAACAUUCACUGCUCAGUUAUUCAUCAACAUUAGAGAAAAAUUCUCAACAGGUUCAGUGAAGGAACAAGUUCAGAAGUAACUGAGAAAGCUAAAACUGUCAUAACACUUUCUCAAUAUACUAGUUUCCUACUGCCUUACUUCUACAUCCAGCCAUAAGCAGAUUUAUAUAGUGCCUGUUACUUUAUGGCAUAGUUUAUACAGAUUCACAAACCCAUUAAAACACCAAACAGUGGCCUAAGUACAUUUUGCAUGUCUUACCAAGUUCAAAAUUAGAUACCUGUACAGCAAAAUAAAACUUCAGAGCAAGAAAUCUAACAUUCUUUAAUAAAAAAUAGAUACAUUCUGCUAUAUUUCAUAUUUAUUUGCCCAUAUUUAUUUCCCUAUAUCAUUACAUCAUCAAGACAAUCAUACAAAAAGGAAUGAAAAUCAUCACAGAAGAAUGCAUAGGUUCUCCAUCUCAUAAUUCAGUAUAAAUUGUUCUCAUGAAAUACUCUUCAGGAAACAGUACUUCAGUAUCCAUUGAUUAAAAGAGACAAAGAAUGGAGUUCAGUAAAAGCAUUUCAUAAAAAAAGGCCUUUUCAAAUUCUAUGACUAGAGUUCUAAACUGGGCAUUAAGCUUAAGAUUAAAGUUAUCAGUUAGAUCUGAACAGCCCCAAAAUGCCUGAAACAUUUCCUCGAGUUUUCCUAUUUCUACGCUAUUCCAAAACCAAAAAAAUACUAAGUAAUCUAAGUGAAUUUUAAGAAUCUAUCAUGAAAAGAAUAGCAAAGAUAACUCCUAUAGUGUUUACAGUAUGUAUCGUAGCACCUGCCACUAGGUCAGACAAGUAACAAAUCUCACAACUGUAUUCAGAUCAAAGACUGGGCUUACAGAAAACUGAGAAAAGAUAUUCUAAAAAAAAAAGACCUGCAUUUGUUUUAAUCAAGAUUUAAUAAAAGAACUAUGAAGAUAAUGAAUUGUUCGGGACUAUAGUCACACCUUCCAGCUCCUAUGAUUAUGCCUGUUUAAUGUCUCUCUUAGUCUGUGUGUGUGUGUGUGUGUGUGUGUGUGUGAAUCUUUAAUUUUUCAGUUUCAAAAGAAAUUUAAAAACAAUACUUGAAUUAAAACCUAAGUAAAUGAGAUCUAUAGAGACUUGGAAUUAAAGAGUAAAUAUGCAAACAAUAUUCCUUUACUUCUAUCACUGCUAAAUUACUCCUAGACUAAUAAACAGCCCACAAAGCAUGCCUUUGAUUUGUUAUAUUCCGGACUUGCAACCUUGGUUGGCAUGUUUUAAUCUAAGAAUACUACCAUGAAAAAUAUUAUCAUUAUAAUUCUUAAAGUAUUUAGUACCACCAUUGUGACAAUAUGGAGACAUUUUAGGUGGAUAUUUAUCACUGUUGACAGCUUUUUAACUAGGCAUUCAAAAGUUCAGAAGUAUUAAAGAACAUAAAAAGAUCACAUCUGGGGAAUCUUCAAAGAAUAAGCAUCAAAUCACUGAUCUGAAUGAUAAAGGCAGACGACAGGUGACUGUAGUAAAAAGAAUGGUAAUAAAGGGACUACAAUGGGCAAAUCCAUAAUUUAUCAUGGCAAGAAUAAGAAAAGCACCUGCAGUCUACACCAUAGAGCAAUUCAGUUUCUCUAGGCAGUAAGUAGAACUACAGUCAAACAUUUUAGGCAGGCACUCCAGUGAUUUAGUUACUGAUGUCUCCCAGGCAGAGAGUGACAUUCAGUAAAGUAGUGUGAAAAUGACAAAGCACCCAAAUUCUUGAAAACCAACUCCUUAACUUUGAAUGACUACUCAUGUAAGCCCAAAUAUGAAUGCUUUAAAUACCUUUCCAUUUUCUUCCAGAUCUGCAUUUUAAAAUAUUACCGUUAGCAUCUCUCUAUUUGUUUCUGCCAGUUCUAACCAAGAGGAGUGAUAACAUUUCCCCUUUAAAUAGUUCUGAAUUUUAAUAAGGGUGAAUCUUAUUCUGGAGACAGUUGAAAUAAUUUCAAUUUUAUAUCUUAAAACAUUUUAUGAAACUUUAUACGAAUAUUCUUACAUGAAUGUGUAUUUGCAGCCAUCUGUUGAAGAAUAAUACAUUGUGCAAGAAUCACUGGAUAUCCACUCUUCCCAAAAGUACAUCCUCACAGAAAGAGCCUUCUAACAUAAUUUUAAAAUUAUGUUUAAUAUAAGCUUUACUUAAGAAGCAAAUUUUAAUUUGAAUAUAAAACAUGUUUAACUAAAUAUAGCAGCUACAACUGCAUUAAGGAGGUCCCAUUCCUUUGAAUUUAAGAUUUCAACUCAAAAAUAAUUACUUUUCCUAGUUAAACAUACUGCAAAUUUAUUGCAAGUAUUCCAAUAAGUUCUUUAGUUAAAUGAUAAAGAAAGCAGACACCCUUGCAAGACAGUAUUGUCUGACGUGUUCAGUAACAUACAAAGUAGAAAAGUUAUAUUUUUAAACGUCUUGUAAUGAUGACCAUUAAAGGCUAUAAGGCUCUACUCAGCCUACUUCCAUAAGGUACAAUGUAGAUGUAUCUAAUUACCAUUAAAUGGUUCUUGUAAUUCCAAACUCUCAUGCAGUAUGUACAAACUGCCAUUUCAUACAGUUGUAUUUGGUCAAACAGGUUAGCAAGAACAUAACUUCUCUCAAGAACUGCCAAGGUAUUUUCCAUACAUUUUGUGGUUUUUAAAGGGAGUAUUAUCUGAAAAAAAAACAGGCUACAAGCCAGUAAACCAGAUCCACUGCAUGCAUCUUCUACGUGAUCUUUAGAUUUUACUUGAUAUAUAAAAGCUUCAAAACAUCAAUUUAAGGAAAAAAAAAAAAAGUUUUGCUGCAUCAUGAAACAAAACAGGAGAAGAAACUUCAGGUUUUUCUACCUCUACAGUUGACUGCUUCAGACGGCAGGGGAGUGAAGGGGAAGAAAUACAACCCGGUAAACAACAAUAGCAACAAAUCUAAAGGAGUGAAAAAUUAGUAAAAAUACCAAAAUACCUAAAUAUAUUCUCAGCCUGAGAAUAUUCUAUAAUUCAUAAUGUGGCACGUUUGGAUUGAUCUCUGAAAUGAUGUCUGCUGGAUUUUGCUAAAGAAAAAAAUGAGAUAGAACACAGAUUUUAAACUGGUAUAUUUACAAAUCACUAUGCUAUUUUGCAUUUUGUUAAUAGUCUUAAUUCUAACAGAAUUGCUAUGUAGCUCAUUACUUAGGGGAGUCUAUCAUUUUUCCCCCUCUUGUACUAGCAAUACUCUAAACCAUGCUGUAAUUAAUGUAAUUAAGUUUAUUAAUAAAGAUUGAAGGGGUUGGACACUGCAUGAAAUACUUAAUUUUGUGUAUGUUUAGCUGGCUGGAUGUUUAGGUUUGUAUUUAAACUGUCAUCAAAUUAUGUGUAAUUAUGCCAAAGCAGAGAUCUGCCUCUCUUAACCAGUGACAAUGACAGAUUUUCAUAGUUCUGGGAGGUGGGUGGUAAAUCUGCCCACUCUUUUUUAUUUGUUAUAUUUUCCUAUUAUGUCUGAUUCAUGUUCUGCAUGUUUUGGAGCAUCACACUUUGAAUGUAUUAGUUUUUAAUGCAGAAUAAAUGGUUAUGCUGCAGAUAUAUAAUACUCUAAUAACAAAA